GACGAACGCUGGCGGCGUGCCUAAUACAUGCAAGUAGAACGCUGAAGAGAGGAGCUUGCUCUUCUUGGAUGAGUUGCGAACGGGUGAGUAACGCGUAGGUAACCUGCCUUGUAGCGGGGGAUAACUAUUGGAAACGAUAGCUAAUACCGCAUAACAAUGGAUGACACAUGUCAUUUAUUUGAAAGGGGCAAUUGCUCCACUACAAGAUGGACCUGCGUUGUAUUAGCUAGUAGGUGAGGUAAUGGCUCACCUAGGCGACGAUACAUAGCCGACCUGAGAGGGUGAUCGGCCACACUGGGACUGAGACACGGCCCAGACUCCUAAGGGAGGCAGCAGUAGGGAAUCUUCGGCAAUGGGGGCAACCCUGACCGAGCAACGCCGCGUGAGUGAAGAAGGUUUUCGGAUCGUAAAGCUCUGUUGUAAGUCAAGAACGGGUGUGAGAGUGGAAAGUUCACACUGUGACGGUAGCUUACCAGAAAGGGACGGCUAACUACGUG
rnacentral:rRNA from 1 species